AGUGAACGCUGACGGCGUGCUUAACACAUGCAAGUCGAACGGUAACAGCAGUACUUGUACUGGCUGACGAGUGGCGGACGGGUGAGUAAUGUAUAGUUAAUCUGCCUCUUAGAGAGGGAUAACAGUUGGAAACGACUGCUAAUACCUCAUACUCCUUUUAUCUUGAUGAUAAUUGGGAAAUGUUUUCUCGCUAAGAGAUGAGACUAUAUGGUAUCAGCUUGUUGGUGAGGUAAUGGCUCACCAAAGGCAAUGACACCUAGCUGGUCUGAGAGGGAUGAUCAGCCACACCCGGAACUGAGACACGGUCCAGACUCCCUACGGGAGGCAGCAGUGGGGAAUAUUGCACAAUGGAGGAAACUCUGAUGCAGCAACGCCGCGUGGAGGAUGACGCAUUUCGGUGUGUAAACUCCUUUUAUAUAGGAAGAUAAUGACGGUACUAUAUGAAUAAGCACCGGCUAACUCCGUGCCAGCAGCCGCGGUAAUACGGAGGGUGCAAGCGUUACUCGGAAUCACUGGGCGUAAAGCGCGCGCAGGCGGUCUGAUAAGUUGGAAGUGAAAUCCUAUGGCUUAACCAUAGAACUGCUUCCAAAACUGUCAGACUAGGGUGUGGGAGGGGAAGAUGGAAUUAGUUGUGUAGGGGUAAAAUCCGUAGAGAUAACUAGGAAUACCAAAAGCGAAGGCGAUCUUCUGGAACACUACUGACGCUGAGGCGCGAAAGCGUGGGGAGCAAACAGGAUUAGAUACCCUGGUAGUCCACGCAGUAAACGAUGAAUGUUAGUCGUCGGGAUGCAAGUCAUUUCGGUGAUGCAGUUAACACAUUAAACAUUCCGCCUGGGGAGUACGGUCGCAAGAUUAAAACUCAAAGGAAUAGACGG
rnacentral:rRNA from 1 species